GACAGACGUGUCAAAGUACAUGGACGGCGACGUGGCGUCACAGAAUUCUGUUACGUUGUAAGGUGAAGGAAUGAGGAUGUAAGAUAAUUUCAAGUGAAAAGAAAUCUGUCCCACUUCCUUCAAGAGUAGAAUUGAAUAUCAUGGCAUCAUCAUCCAAGAAAAUCAAACUUUACGCAAACAAUCCACCGCGAAUUAGUAAAGAAGAUCUUUUCAUGGUCAUCGCACUCUGGAUGCAAGAUUUUGUCACCCAUGAAGAAGCUGAAAUCGAUGAGAAUAUUAACCAAGUUGGGGCAGUAUUAGUAUCUGCUGACGACAAGAUAUACGCAACUGACUGUUCACGAGAGGGAGUUCAUGCCGUUGCCAGAUUAUUAAUAAAACAUCCAGAAAAAACGAAAGGCUCCAAAAUCUUCAUGUAUCGAAAACCUUGCCAUUUUCAAGGGUCGCCUUUUUUACAUGUACCUUCAAUUCCUAUUUCUUGUAUUUUAGGAAGUUUUAUGCUCAACACGAAGCGCCUCAGAAAAAACCGAAGAAGAAAAAAUACAUUAUCUUAUAAAAUAACAAAGUUUACACUGAAAAAUCUGAAUAGCAUGUUAAAUGAUAAGUACUUUGUCGUUAGCACACAUAUAGUUGUGAAUGGUAAACUUUCUACAGGAAAGUUUGUACCCUGCAUUAUAUUUAGCUAUACCUGCAUGAACACAUGAAAUGCGUUGAGCGUAGACGUCAUAUUAAUGCAGGAAGUUAUAUAAAAGCAGCUUUUCAUCGUCAUAAUAUAAUUUACCGUUCAAGACCAAUCUAAUAUAGUAUAAUGGCUUUCAAAUUUCGCUAUACCACUCUUGUUUCAUUAUAUUUUUAGAAAUAGAUAAUUUCAGUCUAAAGGCAUAGCAAGCUACAGUGUGCUUUCUUUUCUUUCAAUUAGCCUAUUUAAAACAUUGACUCGUUUUAUCUUUUAAUUUGGACUACUGCAUUAAAAU